rnacentral:lncRNA from 1 species
CUACCUCCACAAUUAACCAUUAGUAAACCUCCUUGAGCCUAACAAGCCAUUUCUUGUAUUACCCUUAAUAUUGACCCUUAACCCAUUAUUAUUGAAAUCCCCUAAAUUUAAUCCCUAUUUUUGUCGAGAUUUGAGUUGAAGAAAUUGCUUAGCUAUGUCUUGUUUGUAAUAAGUUAGUCUACGAUUAUUUAACUUGUUCUUAAAAAAAUAAAAAUAAAAACAAAAAAAACUAUGUAUAUAUAUUAGUAAUUCCAUAUUCUGAGAAAAAGCUCUGUUGUACGCAAGUGAACAUUAACUCUUUUUCUAGUUAG